CUCAAUCUUCCAUCUCAUUUAAUGGUUUCUUUUUUUUUUUCAAACACAUAUCUAUUUUCUUUGUCUUCUCCAUCGAGUUUUUAAUCACCUUCACGCCGGCAAAAACUUCCAUUUCAUGGAGUUCUUAUUCACCUCCCCACCGACGAAAACUGUUGUCGUGGUUCCAUUUGGCUCCCGCCAGCAAUGUUGCCUACCCCCCAUCUUUCGGCCAAGAGUUCUUAAUCGAAGUCGUCGCGUCACGAGGGAUUCUCUCCCACCC
rnacentral:lncRNA from 1 species